rfam:Angiostrongylus cantonensis strain Taiwan genome assembly, scaffold: ACAC_contig0013120
GCAGGCAUAGGUCAGUCGGUUAGAGCGUGGGUCUAAUAAGCCCAAGGUCACAGCUUCGACCCCUGCUGGCGGCA